UGGGGAAUCUUAGACAAUGGGCGCAAGCCUGAUCUAGCCAUGCCGCGUGGGUGAUGAAGGCCUUAGGGUCGUAAAGCCCUUUCGCCGGGGAAGAUAAUGACGGUACCCGGUAAAGAAACCCCGGCUAACUCCGUGCCAGCAGCCGCGGUAAUACGGAGGGGGUUAGCGUUGUUCGGAAUGACUGGGCGUAAAGCGCGCGUAGGCGGAUCAGGAAGUUGGGGGUGAAAUCCCGUGGCUCAACCCCGGAAUGGCCUUCAAAACUCCUGGUCUUGAGUUCGAGAGAGGUGAGUGGAAUUCCGAGUGUAGAGGUGAAAUUCGUAGAUAUUCGGAGGAACACCAGUGGCGAAGGCGGCUCACUGGCUCGACACUGACGCUGAGGUGCGAAAGCGUGGGGAGCAAACAGG
rnacentral:rRNA from 1 species